rnacentral:rRNA from 1 species
GACGAACGCUGGCGGCGCGCCUAACACAUGCAAGUCGAACGAGCGAGAGAGAGCUUGCUUUCUCAAGCGAGUGGCGAACGGGUGAGUAACGCGUGAGGAACCUGCCUCAAAGAGGGGGACAACAGUUGGAAACGACUGCUAAUACCGCAUAAGCCCACGACCCGGCAUCGGGUAGAGGGAAAAGGAGCAAUCCGCUUUGAGAUGGCCUCGCGUCCGAUUAGCUAGUUGGUGAGGUAACGGCCCACCAAGGCGACGAUCGGUAGCCGGACUGAGAGGUUGAACGGCCACAUUGGGACUGAGACACGGCCCAGACUCCUACGGGAGGCAGCAGUGGGGAAUAUUGCACAAUGGGGGAAACCCUGAUGCAGCGACGCCGCGUGGAGGAAGAAGGCCUUCGGAUUGUAAACUCCUGUUGUUGAGGAAGAUAAUGACGGUACUCAACAAGGAAGUGACGGCUAACUACGUG